AUGGCGCCGCCGGAGGAGGCCGGCGGCGGGGACCAGUUCCCGGUGGGAAUGAAGGUGCUGGUCGUCGACGACGACCAGACGUGCCUCGCCGUGCUCAAGAGGAUGCUCGUCCAGUGCCGCUACGACGCUACAACUUGUUCUCAGGCCACGAGAGCAUUAGCUAUGCUGCGAGAGAACAGGGGUGCUUUUGAUGUUAUAAUUAGUGAUGUUCACAUGCCUGAUAUGAAUGGAUUCAGGUUACUUGAACUUGUAGGCCUUGAGAUGGAUCUUCCAGUUAUUAUGAUGUCUGCUGAUUCAAGGACGGAUCUAGUAAUGAAAGGAAUAAAACAUGGAGCAUGUGAUUAUUUGAUUAAACCUGUCAGGAUGGAAGAGUUAAAAAACAUCUGGCAACAUGUUGUGAGGAAAAAGUUUGGUGGAAGCAAGGAACAUGAGCAUUCAGGUAGCUUAGAUGAUACAGAUCGGAACAGACUAACUAAUAAUGAUAAUGAGUAUGCUUCCUCUGCAAAUGAUGGAGCUGAGGAUAGCUGGAAGUCUCAGAAAAAGAAACGGGAUAAAGAAGAGGAUGACAGUGAAUUGGAAAGUGGUGAUCCUUCUAAUAAUUCGAAGAAACCCAGAGUUGUUUGGUCAGUUGAGCUCCAUCAACAAUUUGUAAAUGCAGUUAAUCACCUCGGAAUAGACAAAGCUGUUCCCAAGAAAAUUUUGGAGUUGAUGAAUGUCCCUGGUUUAACUAGGGAAAACGUCGCCAGCCAUUUGCAGAAAUUCAGAUUGUAUCUGAAAAGGAUAGCUCAGCAUCAUGCAGGAAUGGCCAAUCCAUAUAGUGUGCCUGCUUCUAGUGCUCAAGUGGCCUCCUUGGGAGGACUUGAUUUCCAAGCUUUGGCUGCUUCAGGUCAAAUCCCUCCUCAAGCCCUGGCAGCUUUGCAGGAUGAGCUCCUAGGACGACCUACAAACAGCCUGGUGUUGCCUGGAAGGGACCAGUCAUCUUUACGACUUGCUGCAGUCAAAGGAAAUAAGCCCCAUGGAGAGCAAAUAGCAUUUGGGCAGCCGAUAUACAAGGUCCAGAAUAAUUCAUAUGCGGCAUUACCCCAAAACAGCUCUGCAGUUGGAAGAAUGCCUUCUUUUUCAGCUUGGCCCAAUAACAAACUUGGUAUGUCAGAUUCAAUGAGCGCACUGGGUCAUGUGAAUAAUUCUCAGAAUAGCAAUAUGGUCUUGCACGAAUUGCAACAGCAGCCAGAUACCAUGCUGUCGGGAACCCUUCACACUCUAGAUGUCAAACCUUCCGGCAUAGUAAUGCCAUCUCAGUCAUUAAAUACUUUCCCAGCUAGUGAGGGACUCUCUCCUAAUCAAAAUUCCUUGAUUAUACCUUCUCAAUCGUCAGGUUUUCUAACAGGCAUUCCUCCAUCCAUGAAGCCUGAACUUGUUCUCCCAACUUCUCAAUCAUCAAACAGUCUGUUAGGUGGGAUUGAUCUGAUUAACCAAGCUUCAACCAGUCAGCCUUUCAUUAGUAGCCAUGGAGGAAAUCUUCCUGGUCUCAUGAAUCGUAACUCAAAUGUGAUGCCAUCACAAGGAAUAAGUAGCUUUCAAACUGGUAAUACUCCAUAUCUGGUUAAUCAGAACUCUAUGGGAAUGGGCUCUAAACCACCUGGUGUUCUAAAGACUGAGAGCACUGACUCUCUUAACCAAAACUAUGCUUAUGCCAACCAUAUGGAUUCCGGCUUGCUGUCUUCUCAGUCAAAAAAUGCACAGUUCGGUUUUCUGCAGAGUCCAAAUGAUAUCACAGGUGGCUGGUCUUCUUUGCAAAAUAUGGAUGGUUAUAGAAAUACUGUUGGGCCAAGUCAGCCAGUGUCCAGUUCGUCUAGCUUUCAGAGUUCUAAUGCAGCCCUUGGGAAAUUGCCUGAUCAAGGACGAGGAAAAAAUCUUGGAUUUGUUGGGAAGGGUACUUGCAUCCCGAACCGCUUUGCAGUGGAUGAGAUUGAAUCUCCAACUAACAGCUUGAGUCACAGCAUUGGAAGCAGUGGAGACAUCCCUGACAUGUUCGGAUUUAGUGGACAGAUGUGA
rnacentral:rRNA from 1 species